rnacentral:rRNA from 1 species
UGCAAGUCGAGCGGACAGAUGGGAGCUUGCUCCCUGAUGUUAGCGGCGGACGGGUGAGUAACACGUGGGUAACCUGCCUGUAAGACUGGGAUAACUCCGGGAAACCGGGGCUAAUACCGGAUGGUUGUCUGAACCGCAUGGUUCAGACAUAAAAGGUGGCUUCGGCUACCACUUACAGAUGGACCCGCGGCGCAUUAGCUAGUUGGUGAGGUAACGGCUCACCAAGGCGACGAUGCGUAGCCGACCUGAGAGGGUGAUCGGCCACACUGGGACUGAGACACGGCCCAGACUCCUACGGGAGGCAGCAGUAGGGAAUCUUCCGCAAUGGACGAAAGUCUGACGGAGCAACGCCGCGUGAGUGAUGAAGGUUUUCGGAUCGUAAAGCUCUGUUGUUAGGGAAGAACAAGUGCCGUUCAAAUAGGGCGGCACCUUGA